rnacentral:misc_RNA from 1 species
UAUCUGUUGAUCAUCUUUCAAAGGUACUUAAUUUUUAUCCUCUUGCAAGAGGAAUGGAGCUAUUCAGUUAUUGAGAAAGUUUUUUCAAUCCAUUCACAUCUAUUUGCUUGAAAUGUGGAAAAACAUAUGUACCAUGAAAUCUCCAUUGGAGUCUUCCUUGUUUAGUUCUUAUUUAAAAGAUAGGGAUAUGAGAUUAUUCAAAUCAUUCAGCUUGUAAAAUUAUCUUUGCAAAACAUCCAAGUCUGACAAAAUGAGAGACAAGCCUCCUGAAAGAUAGUCAUAGCUUUGUACCUUGUCUGCAAUCCUUUUCCAGUUGGUUUUCAUUUAAAUGAAUUUUGAAAUAUUGCUG